rnacentral:rRNA from 1 species
CUAAUACAUGCAAGUCGAGCGAACGGACGAGAAGCUUGCUUCUCUGAUGUUAGCGGCGGACGGGUGAGUAACACGUGGAUAACCUACCUAUAAGACUGGGAUAACUUCGGGAAACCGGAGCUAAUACCGGAUAAUAUUUUGAACCGCAUGGUUCAAAAGUGAAAGACGGUCUUGCUGUCACUUAUAGAUGGAUCCGCGCUGCAUUAGCUAGUUGGUAAGGUAACGGCUUACCAAGGCAACGAUGCAUAGCCGACCUGAGAGGGUGAUCGGCCACACUGGAACUGAGACACGGUCCAGACUCCUACGGGAGGCAGCAGUAGGGAAUCUUCCGCAAUGGGCGAAAGCCUGACGGAGCAACGCCGCGUGAGUGAUGAAGGUCUUCGGAUCGUAAAACUCUGUUAUUAGGGAAGAACAUAUGUGUAAGUAACUGUGCACAUCUUGACGGUACCUAAUCAGAAAGCCACGGCUAACUACGUGCCAGCAGCCGCGGUAAUACGUAGGUGGCAAGCGUUAUCCGGAAUUAUUGGGCGUAAAGCGCGCGUAGGCGGUUUUUUAAGUCUGAUGUGAAAGCCCACGGCUCAACCGUGGAGGGUCAUUGGAAACUGGAAAACUUGAGUGCAGAAGAGGAAAGUGGAAUUCCAUGUGUAGCGGUGAAAUGCGCAGAGAUAUGGAGGAACACCAGUGGCGAAGGCGACUUUCUGGUCUGUAACUGACGCUGAUGU